rnacentral:rRNA from 1 species
UACGUAGGGUGCGAGCGUUGUCCGGAAUUAUUGGGCGUAAAGAGCUCGUAGGCGGCUUGUCGCGUCUGCUGUGAAAUCCCAGGGCUUAACUCCGGGUCUGCGGUGGAUACGGGCAGGCUAGAGUUCGGUAGGGGAGACUGGAAUUCCUGGUGUAGCGGUGAAGUGCGCAGAUAUCAGGAGGAACACCGGUGGCGAAGGCGGGUCUCUGGGCCGACACUGACGCUGAGGAGCGAAAGCGUGGGGAGCGAACAGGAUUAGAUACCCUGGUAGU